UAGUCCUAACCUUAAAAUCAAUUUUUACUUAAUUUACACAUGCAAGUAUCCGCACCCCUGUGAGAACGCCCUCAUUUUCCUUAUAGGAAUAAGGAGCUGGUAUCAGGCACAACUUUUAGCCCAAGACACCUAGUUCAGCCACACCCACAAGGGUAAUCAGCAGUGAUUAAUAUUGAGAAUAAGCGGCAGCUUGACUCAGUUAAAGUAAAUUGGGCCGGCAAAUCUGGUGCCAGCCGCCGCGGUUAUACCAUGAAGCCCUAAUUGAUUCUUUCGGCGUAAAGCGUGAUUAAAGUGUUAGAAAAUUAUAGUUACACUAGAAUUAAACUGUAAUACGCUUAUUCCUAGGAAACUCAAAACCGAAAGUUACUAUAACAAACUCAACUUGAACUCACGACAGCUAAGACACAAACUGGAAUUAGAUACUCCACUAUGCUUAGCCGUAAACUUUAAAUUACAAAUUCAUCGCCAGGGGACUACAAGCCAAGCUUAAAACCCAAAGGACUUGACGGUACCCCACAUCCACCUAGAGGAGCCUGUCCUACAAUCGAUAACCCCCGCUUUACCUUACCAUUUUUAGCCAUUCAACCUGUAUACCUCCGUCGUCAGCUUACCCCGUGAGUGACCUUUAGUGGGCUUAAUGUUCCCCCCAUCAAUACGUCAGGUCAAGGUGCAGUAAAUAAAAUGGAAAGAGAUGGGCUACACUCUCUACCUUAGAGAAUACGAAAAACUACUGAUGAAAUUAGUCAGAAGGCGGAUUUAGAAGUAAAAAGAGAUCAUAGAGCUCCUUUUAACAUGGCACUGGGGUGUGUACAUACCGCCCGUCACCCUCUUCAAAACUAGAAAUAGUACUUAACACAAAAUAGUUACCUAGAAGAGGCAAGUCGUAACAUGGUAAGUAUACCGGAAGGUGUGCUUGGAAA
rnacentral:ncRNA from 1 species